AUGAAUCACGCUAUGGGGAAAUGCCCCUUCCAUAACUCGACACACGCCUCGAAGCCUCGGCUCAUCUCAUAACAUCACUACUUUGUAGUUUUCCAGUGAAUUCAUGCUCUUACCCUUUGUUUUUUUGUGAAUCUUCAGCAGGAAACCUACAGAUCCUCUGAGAACUUAUCCACCUUUAUCCAGCCAAGUCCUCCACAAACUGGAACCUCAGACCACCCUCCAACUCAAGCAAAGAGUUCAAUCGAACCUGGAUUCCUGGCCGCAGGACCCCCAAGCUGAGAACCCUUUUUCUGUCUCUUUGUUUCAGAAAAAGAAAAUAAACUUUCUAACUUUGA